rnacentral:rRNA from 1 species
CCCUUAGAUGUUCUGGGCCGCACGCGUGCUACACUGAGUGGAUCAGCGGGUCAGGUUGCGCGAAAGCGUUUCCUAAUCUUGAAAUCCGCUCGUGAUGGGGAUUGACGGUUGCAAUUUUCUGUCAUGAACGAGGAAUACCUUGUAAGCGCGAGUCAUCAUCCCGCGCUGAAUACGUCCCUGCCCUUUGUACACACCGCCCGUCACUCCUACCGAUUGAGUGGUCCGGUGAGGCUUUGGGAUCUGAGCGGAAAGAGCGUUUCGCUCGUUCUGCCCGGAAAACUCAGUCGAACCUUAUCAUUUAGAGGAAGGAGAAGUCGUAACA